GGGCAAUGAUGAAUUACUAAAGGUCUCGUUCGGCGUAAUGGCUAAAAACCUUGACGACGACUCUUAUAUCACCACCCAUAAUCAGAGCCC